rnacentral:rRNA from 1 species
GGUUAAGCGACUAAGCGUACACGGUGGAUGCCCUGGCAGUCAGAGGCGAUGAAGGACGUGCUAAUCUGCGAUAAGCGUCGGUAAGGUGAUAUGAACCGUUAUAACCGGCGAUUUCCGAAUGGGGAAACCCAGUGUGUUUCGACACACUAUCAUUAACUGAAUCCAUAGGUUAAUGAGGCGAACCGGGGGAACUGAAACAUCUAAGUACCCCGAGGAAAAGAAAUCAACCGAGAUUCCCCCAGUAGCGGCGAGCGAACGGGGAGCAGCCCAGAGCCUGAAUCAGUAUGUGUGUUAGUGGAAGCGUCUGGAAAGGCGCGCGAUACAGGGUGACAGCCCCGUACACAAAAAUGCACAUGCUGUGAGCUCGAUGAGUAGGGCGGGACACGUGGUAUCCUGUCUGAAUAUGGGGGGACCAUCCUCCAAGGCUAAAUACUCCUGACUGACCGAUAGUGAACCAGUACCGUGAGGGAAAGGCGAAAAGAACCCCGGCGAGGGGAGUGAAAAAGAACCUGAAACCGUGUACGUACAAGCAGUGGGAGCACGCUUAGGCGUGUGACUGCGUACCUUUUGUAUAAUGGGUCAGCGACUUAUAUUCUGUAGCAAGGUUAACCGAAUAGGGGAGCCGAAGGGAAACCGAGUCUUAACUGGGCGUUAAGUUGCAGGGUAUAGACCCGAAACCCGGUGAUCUAGCCAUGGGCAGGUUGAAGGUUGGGUAACACUAACUGGAGGACCGAACCGACUAAUGUUGAAAAAUUAGCGGAUGACUUGUGGCUGGGGGUGAAAGGCCAAUCAAACCGGGAGAUAGCUGGUUCUCCCCGAAAGCUAUUUAGGUAGCGCCUCGUGAAUUCAUCUCCGGGGGUAGAGCACUGUUUCGGCAAGGGGGUCAUCCCGACUUACCAACCCGAUGCAAACUGCGAAUACCGGAGAAUGUUAUCACGGGAGACACACGGCGGGUGCUAACGUCCGUCGUGAAGAGGGAAACAACCCAGACCGCCAGCUAAGGUCCCAAAGUCAUGGUUAAGUGGGAAACGAUGUGGGAAGGCCCAGACAGCCAGGAUGUUGGCUUAGAAGCAGCCAUCAUUUAAAGAAAGCGUAAUAGCUCACUGGUCGAGUCGGCCUGCGCGGAAGAUGUAACGGGGCUAAACCAUGCACCGAAGCUGCGGCAGCGACGCUGAUGCGUUGUUGGGUAGGGGAGCGUUCUGUAAGCCUGCGAAGGUGUGCUGUGAGGCAUGCUGGAGGUAUCAGAAGUGCGAAUGCUGACAUAAGUAACGAUAAAGCGGGUGAAAAGCCCGCUCGCCGGAAGACCAAGGGUUCCUGUCCAACGUUAAUCGGGGCAGGGUGAGUCGACCCCUAAGGCGAGGCCGAAAGGCGUAGUCGAUGGGAAACAGGUUAAUAUUCCUGUACUUGGUGUUACUGCGAAGGGGGGACGGAGAAGGCUAUGUUGGCCGGGCGACGGUUGUCCCGGUUUAAGCGUGUAGGCUGGUUUUCCAGGCAAAUCCGGAAAAUCAAGGCUGAGGCGUGAUGACGAGGCACUACGGUGCUGAAGCAACAAAUGCCCUGCUUCCAGGAAAAGCCUCUAAGCAUCAGGUAACAUCAAAUCGUACCCCAAACCGACACAGGUGGUCAGGUAGAGAAUACCAAGGCGCUUGAGAGAACUCGGGUGAAGGAACUAGGCAAAAUGGUGCCGUAACUUCGGGAGAAGGCACGCUGAUAUGUAGGUGAAGUCCCUCGCGGAUGGAGCUGAAAUCAGUCGAAGAUACCAGCUGGCUGCAACUGUUUAUUAAAAACACAGCACUGUGCAAACACGAAAGUGGACGUAUACGGUGUGACGCCUGCCCGGUGCCGGAAGGUUAAUUGAUGGGGUUAGCCGCAAGGCGAAGCUCUUGAUCGAAGCCCCGGUAAACGGCGGCCGUAACUAUAACGGUCCUAAGGUAGCGAAAUUCCUUGUCGGGUAAGUUCCGACCUGCACGAAUGGCGUAAUGAUGGCCAGGCUGUCUCCACCCGAGACUCAGUGAAAUUGAACUCGCUGUGAAGAUGCAGUGUACCCGCGGCAAGACGGAAAGACCCCGUGAACCUUUACUAUAGCUUGACACUGAACAUUGAGCCUUGAUGUGUAGGAUAGGUGGGAGGCUUAGAAGUGUGGACGCCAGUCUGCAUGGAGCCGACCUUGAAAUACCACCCUUUAAUGUUUGAUGUUCUAACGUUGACCCGUAAUCCGGGUUGCGGACAGUGUCUGGUGGGUAGUUUGACUGGGGCGGUCUCCUCCUAAAGAGUAACGGAGGAGCACGAAGGUUGGCUAAUCCUGGUCGGACAUCAGGAGGUUAGUGCAAUGGCAUAAGCCAGCUUGACUGCGAGCGUGACGGCGCGAGCAGGUGCGAAAGCAGGUCAUAGUGAUCCGGUGGUUCUGAAUGGAAGGGCCAUCGCUCAACGGAUAAAAGGUACUCCGGGGAUAACAGGCUGAUACCGCCCAAGAGUUCAUAUCGACGGCGGUGUUUGGCACCUCGAUGUCGGCUCAUCACAUCCUGGGGCUGAAGUAGGUCCCAAGGGUAUGGCUGUUCGCCAUUUAAAGUGGUACGCGAGCUGGGUUUAGAACGUCGUGAGACAGUUCGGUCCCUAUCUGCCGUGGGCGCUGGAGAACUGAGGGGGGCUGCUCCUAGUACGAGAGGACCGGAGUGGACGCAUCACUGGUGUUCGGGUUGUCAUGCCAAUGGCACUGCCCGGUAGCUAAAUGCGGAAGAGAUAAGUGCUGAAAGCAUCUAAGCACGAAACUUGCCCCGAGAUGAGUUCUCCCUGACUCCUUGAGAGUCCUGAAGGAACGUUGAAGACGACGACGUUGAUAGGCCGGGUGUGUAAGCGCAGCGAUGCGUUGAGCUAACCGGUACUAAUGAACCGUGAGGCUUAACCUU